UUCNCGGCCGCNAANUCGCCCUUAGAGUUUUCUCAUGGCUCAGAACGAACGCUGGCGGCAGGCCUAACACAUGCAAGUCGAGCGCACCUUCGGGUGAGCGGCGGACGGGUUAGUAACGCGUGGGAACGUGCCCUUCUCUAAGGAAUAGCCACUGGAAACGGUGAGUAAUACCUUAUACGCCCUUCGGGGGAAAGAUUAAUCGGAGAAGGAUCGGCCCGCGUUAGAUUAGAUAGUUGGUGGGGUAACGGCCUACCAAGUCUACGAUCUAUAGCUGGUUUUAGAGGAUGAUCAGCAACACUGGGACUGAGACACGGCCCAGACUCCUACGGGAGGCAGCAGUGGGGAAUCUUGGACAAUGGGCGCAAGCCUGAUCCAGCCAUGCCGCGUGAGUGAUGAAGGCCUUAGGGUCGUAAAGCUCUUUCGCCAGGGAUGAUACUGACAGUACCUGGUAAAGAAACCCCGGCUAACUCCGUGCCAGCAGCCGCGGUAAUACGGAGGGGGUUAGCGUUGUUCGGAAUUACUGGGCGUAAAGCGUACGUAGGCGGAUUAGUCAGUCAGAGGUGAAAUCCCAGGGCUCAACCCUGGAACUGCCUUUGAUACUGCUAGUCUUGAGUCCGAGAGAGGUGAGUGGAAUUCCGAGUGUAGAGGUGAAAUUCGUAGAUAUUCGGAGGAACACCAGUGGCGAAGGCGGCUCACUGGCUCGAUACUGACGCU
rnacentral:rRNA from 1 species